GUCCGCCAGAGAACUACAAGCGAAAAGCUUAAAACUCAAAGGACUUGGCGGUGUCCCACACUCAACUUAGAGGAGCCUGUCCUAUAAUCGAUGAUCCACGAUAAACCCAACCACCCUUUGCCCAAACUCCGCCUAUAUACCGCCGUCGCAAACCCACCUUACAAAAGAACAACAGUGGGUACAAUAGUUUAAACACUAAAACGACAGGUCAAGGUGUAGCUAAUGGGGUGGAAGAGAUGGGCUACAUUCUUUAAUUCCCAAAGCAAACAGAAAGGGCCAUGAAACAGGCUCCCAAAGGAGGAUUUAACAGUAA
rnacentral:rRNA from 1 species